rnacentral:rRNA from 1 species
GUGUCAGCCGCCGCGGUAAUACAGAGGUGGCAAGCGUUGUUCGGAAUUAUUGGGCGUAAAGAGCACGUAGGUGGGUUUGUAAGUCAGCUGUGAAAGCCUUCUGUUCAACGGAAGAAUUGCAUCUGAAACUGCGAGUCUUGAGUGUAGGAGGGGAGAAUGGAACUUCUGGUGGAGCGGUGAAAUGCGUAGAUAUCAGAAGGAACGCCGGCGGCGAAAGCGAUUCUCUGGCCUAUUACUGACACUCAGUGUGCGGAAGCUAGGGGAGCAAACGGGAUUAGAUACCCCGGUAGUCCUAGGUGUAAACGAUGGGCACUAAGUAGAGGGAAUUACCGAUGUUCUCUCUGCCGUAGCUAACGCAUUAAGGGCCCCGCCUGGGGAGGACGGCCGCAAGGCUAAAACUUAAAGAAAUUGACGG